rnacentral:rRNA from 1 species
CUAGCGACAGGCUUAACACAUGCAAGUUGAGGGGCAGCACAGGUAGCAAUACCGGGUGGCGACCGGCGCACGGGUGAGUAACGCGUAUGCAACUUGCCUAUCAGAGGGGGAUAACCCGGCGAAAGUCGGACUAAUACCGCAUGAAGCAGGGGCCCCGCAUGGGGAUAUUUGCUAAAGAUUCAUCGCUGAUAGAUAGGCAUGCGUUCCAUUAGGCAGUUGGCGGGGUAACGGCCCACCAAACCGACGAUGGAUAGGGGUUCUGAGAGGAAGGUCCCCCACAUUGGUACUGAGACACGGACCAAACUCCUACGGGAGGCAGCAGUGAGGAAUAUUGGUCAAUGGCCGAGAGGCUGAACCAGCCAAGUCGCGUGAGGGAUGAAGGUUCUAUGGAUCGUAAACCUCUUUUAUAAGGGAAUAAAGUGCGGGACGUGUCCCGUUUUGUAUGUACCUUAUGAAUAAGGAUCGGCUAACUCCGUGCCAGCAGCCGCGGUAAUACGGAGGAUCCGAGCGUUAUCCGGAUUUAUUGGGUUUAAAGGGUGCGUAGGCGGCCUUUUAAGUCAGCGGUGAAAGUCUGUGGCUCAACCAUAGAAUUGCCGUUGAAACUGGGGGGCUUGAGUAUGUUUGAGGCAGGCGGAAUGCGUGGUGUAGCGGUGAAAUGCAUAGAUAUCACGCAGAACCCCGAUUGCGAAGGCAGCCUGCCAAGCCAUGACUGACGCUGAUGCACGAAAGCGUGGGGAUCAAACAGGAUUAGAUACCCUGGUAGUCCACGCAGUAAACGAUGAUCACUAGCUGUUUGCGAUACACUGUAAGCGGCACAGCGAAAGCGUUAAGUGAUCCACCUGGGGAGUACGCCGGCAACGGUGAAACUCAAAGGAAUUGACGGGGGCCCGCACAAGCGGAGGAACAUGUGGUUUAAUUCGAUGAUACGCGAGGAACCUUACCCGGGUUUGAACGCAUUCGGACCGAGGUGGAAACACCUUUUCUAGCAAUAGCCGUUUGCGAGGUGCUGCAUGGUUGUCGUCAGCUCGUGCCGUGAGGUGUCGGCUUAAGUGCCAUAACGAGCGCAACCCUUGCCACUAGUUACUAACAGGUGAUGCUGAGGACUCUGGUGGGACUGCCAGCGUAAGCUGCGAGGAAGGCGGGGAUGACGUCAAAUCAGCACGGCCCUUACAUCCGGGGCGACACACGUGUUACAAUGGCGUGGACAAAGGGAGGCCACCUGGCGACAGGGAGCGAAUCCCCAAACCACGUCUCAGUUCGGAUCGGAGUCUGCAACCCGACUCCGUGAAGCUGGAUUCGCUAGUAAUCGCGCAUCAGCCAUGGCGCGGUGAAUACGUUCCCGGGCCUUGUACACACCGCCCGUCAAGCCAUGGGAGCCGGGGGUACCUGAAGUCCGUAACCGCGAGGAUCGGCCUAGGGUAAAACUGGUGACUGGGGCUAAGUCAUAACAAG